UACGGGGGGCGCAAGCGUUGUUCGGAUUUACUGGGCGUAAAGGGCGCGUAGGCGGUCAGCACACGUCAGUUGUGAAAUCUCCGGGCUUAACCCGGGAACUGCGUCCGAUACUGGAAGGCUUGAAUCCGGGAGAGGGAUGUGGAAUUCCAGGUGUAGCGGUGAAAUGCGUAGAUAUCUGGAGGAACACCGGUGGCGAAGGCGACAGCCUGGACCGGUAUUGACGCUGAGGCGCGAAAGCCAGGGGAGCAAACGGG
rnacentral:rRNA from 1 species